rnacentral:miRNA from 1 species
AGCCAUCAUACUGGAUUUGUCGUA